rnacentral:rRNA from 1 species
GGCUAAGUUCGUGCCAGCAGCCGCGGUAAUACGAACUGCGCGAACGUUAUUCGGAAUCACUGGGCUUAAAGGGUGCGUAGGCGGCCUGUUAAGUAGGGUGUGAAAUUUGUCGGCUCAACCGGCAAACUGCAUUCUAAACUGGCAGGCUUGAGUGAGUCAGGGGUGUGCGGAACUUCCGGUGGAGCGGUGAAAUGCGUUGAUAUCGGAAGGAACGCCGGUGGCGAAAGCGGCACACUGGGGCUUUUCUGACGCUGAGGCACGAAAGCCAGGGGAGCGAACAGGAUUAGAUACCCUGGUAGUCCUGGCUGUAAACGAUGAAUACUGGGUUGGGGGAGCAUGUCUCUCCCAGCCGUAGCGAAAGCGUUAAGUAUUCCGCCUGGGGAGUAUGGUCGCAAGGCUGAAACUCAAAGGAAUUGACGGGGGCUCACACAAGCGGUGGAGGAUGUGGCUUAAUUCGAGGCAACGCGAAGAACCUUAUCCCGGACUUGACAUCUAUGGAUUAGCAUUGUGAAAGCAGUGUGACGCCUUCGGGUGGAACAUAGACAGGUGCUGCAUGGCUGUCGUCA